rnacentral:rRNA from 1 species
GACGAACGCUGGCGGCGUGCUUAACACAUGCAAGUCGAACGGAAAGGCCCUGCUUGCAGGGUACUCGAGUGGCGAACGGGUGAGUAACACGUGGGUGAUCUGCCCUGCACUUCGGGAUAAGCCUGGGAAACUGGGUCUAAUACCGGAUAGGAGCCAUUUUUAGUGUGAUGGUUGGAAAGUUUUUUCGGUGUAGGAUGAGCUCGCGGCCUAUCAGCUUGUUGGUGGGGUAAUGGCCUACCAAGGCGGCGACGGGUAGCCGGCCUGAGAGGGUGGACGGCCACCUUGGGACUGAGAGACGGCCCAGACUCCUACGGGAGGCAGCAGUGGGGAAUAUUGCACAAUGGGCGCAAGCCUGAUGCAGCGACGCCGCGUGGGGGAUGACGGCCUUCGGGUUGUAAACUCCUUUCGCUAGGGACGAAGCUUUUUGUGACGGUACCUAGAUAAGAAGCACCGGCUAACUACGUG